rnacentral:rRNA from 1 species
GACGAACGCUGGCGGCGUGCUUAACACAUGCAGGUCGAGCGGUAAGGCCCUUUCGGGGGUACACGAGCGGCGAACGGGUGAGUAACACGUGGGUGACCUGCCCUUAGCUCUGGGAUAAGCCUGGGAAACUGGGUCUAAUACCGGAUAUGACUCCAUGACGCAUGUUGUGGGGUGGAAAGCCUUGUGCGGCUAGGGAUGGGCCCGCGGCCUAUCAGCUUGUUGGUGGGGUGAUGGCCUACCAAGGCGACGACGGGUAGCCGGCCUGAGAGGGCGACCGGCCACACUGGGACUGAGACACGGCCCAGACUCCUACGGGAGGCAGCAGUGGGGAAUCUUGCGCAAUGGGCGAAAGCCUGACGCAGCGACGCCGCGUGGGGA